GACGAACGCUGGCGGCGUGCUUAACACAUGCAAGUCGAACGGAAAGGCCCUGCUUGCAGGGUACUCGAGUGGCGAACGGGUGAGUAACACGUGGGUGAUCUGCCCUGCACUUCGGGAUAAGCCUGGGAAACUGGGUCUAAUACCGGAUAGGAGCCCUUUUUAGUGUGAUGGUUGGAAAGUUUUUUCGGUGUAGGAUGAGCUCGCGGCCUAUCAGCUUGUUGGUGGGGUAAUGGCCUACCAAGGCGGCGACGGGUAGCCGGCCUGAGAGGGUGGACGGCCACAUUGGGACUGAGAUACGGCCCAGACUCCUACGGGAGGCAGCAGUGGGGAAUAUUGCACAAUGGGCGCAAGCCUGAUGCAGCGACGCCGCGUGGGGGAUGACGGCCUUCGGGUUGUAAACUCCUUUCGCUAGGGACGAAGCUUUUUGGGACGGUACCUAGAUAAGAAGCACCGGCUAACUACGU
rnacentral:rRNA from 1 species